GAUGAACGCUGGCGGCGUGCCUAAUACAUGCAAGUCGAGCGAACAGACGAGGAGCUUGCUCCUCUGACGUUAGCGGCGGACGGGUGAGUAACACGUGGAUAACCUACCUAUAAGACUGGGAUAACUUCGGGAAACCGGAGCUAAUACCGGAUAAUAUAUUGAACCGCAUGGUUCAAUAGUGAAAGACGGUUUUGCUGUCACUUAUAGAUGGAUCCGCGCCGCAUUAGCUAGUUGGUAAGGUAACAGCUUACCAAGGCAACGAUGCGUAGCCGACCUGAGAGGGUGAUCGGCCACACUGGAACUGAGACACGGUCCAGACUCCUACGGGAGGCAGCAGUAGGGAAUCUUCCGCAAUGGGCGAAAGCCUGACGGAGCAACGCCGCGUGAGUGAUGAAGGUCUUCGGAUCGUAAAACUCUGUUAUUAGGGAGGAACAAAUGUGUAAGUAACUAUGCACGUCUUGACGGUACCUAAUCAGAAAGCCACGGCUAACUACGUG
rnacentral:rRNA from 1 species